rnacentral:rRNA from 1 species
UACGUAGGGUGCAAGCGUUAAUCGGAAUUACUGGGCGUAAAGCGUGCGCAGGCGGUCCGCUAAGACAGAUGUGAAAGCCCCGGGCUUAACCUGGGAACUGCGUUUGAGACUGGCAAGCUAGAGUCUGUCAGAGGGGGGUAGAAUUCCACGUGUAGCAGUGAAAUGCGUAGAGAUGUGGAGGAAUACCGAUGGCGAAGGCAGCCCCCUGGGAUAAGACUGACGCUCAUGCACGAAAGCGUGGGGAGCAAACAGG